GCCGGCGUGGCGAAAUUGGCAAACGCGGAGGUCUGGCGGGCCUCUGGGCUCACGCCCAAGCGGGUUCGACUCCCGUCGCCGGCA
rnacentral:tRNA from 1 species